UGCCCUCUCGAACUCGCACAGUCUUCUUCGGACUGUAGUGGGGGAAAAACCUUACACAGCACAGCCAGUUGUGGAGCAACCGUGCUGCAACCUAACGCCUCGGGUUGCGACAUUCGGUCCUACGGACACCUGUCCAGGUUCGCUUGCGGGCCUGCAGGUUCGCUUUACUCCGGGGUGCCGGGGAGCAGUAGUGGUGCUUGCCUGCUACUAGAGAAGUUAGUGGAUAUUAGUGAUUGAUUGUGUCGAAGCUAUAUGCUCAUGUCAAAGAUUAAGCCAUGCAUGCCGAGUUAAUUUGAAGAGAAAUAGACGGUGAUAGAGUGGUUGAAAACCACUGAAUAUACACACGCGGCCUGGAUAUCGACCAUGCAAAUUGGCGUGAUCACGGUAUGUGCAGCCCGAACGGGCAAUAAAUAAGAGAUAGUAGCGCAAUUGCUACGAAUGAGAGAGGAUUGACAGAUUUUCAGGUGGAGCUGGCCACCUAUGAGAGAAAAUGUAGCAAAUAAGGUAAGCCGUCGGGGACUCGCGGCAAUGGCCACAGGUCAUGCACGAUGAGUACCUGACAGACGGCUGUCAAUAACCAAAGGAUUGGUUUCAGUAAGAGUAAGGUAGUAAUCAGUAGCAAAUAAGCGCAAGCCGUCGGGGCUUGCGGCAAUGACUUCAGGUCAUGCACGAUGAGUACCUGACAGACGGCUGUCAAUAACCAAAGGAUUGGUUUCAGUAAGAGUAAGGUAGUAAUCAGUAGCAAAUAAGUGCAAGCUGUCGGGGGCUUGCGGCAAUGACUUCAGGUCAUGCACGAUGAGUACCUGACAGACGGCUGUCAAUAACCAAAGGAUUGGCUCCGAUAAGAGUAAGGUAGUAACUAGCAGCAAAUAAAGCAAGCCGUCGGGGGCUCGCGGCAAUGGCCACAGGUCAUGCACGAGUUCCUGACAAUAAUGCUGUCAAUAAUUGGUUUGGACACCAGAGAGGGUCUAAAAUUCUACCAUUCUCAAUCCCAGCUAUUAAUUAAAACAAAAACGGGACAAAUCCCAUUCACGUGCAUCCGGUCGGAUACCCAUGCAAAAGCGCAUGAGUAGAAGUCCAGUCGAGCUCAUACCACUGGUUGCCGGUGGCUGAAAGUGGGUGAGACUUGAUAUGGAAUCGGCCACCUGGGUUGCGGCGGGUGGGAGUAGCAAAUAACGCUGACGCGCAUGAAUGGAUUAACGAGAUUGCCACUGUCCCUAACUACUAUCUAGCGAAACCACAGCCAAGGGAACGGGCUUGGCAAAAAUAGUGGGGAAAGAAGACGCUGUUGAACUUGACUCUAGUUUGACAUUGUGAAGAGUCAUGAGAGGUGUAGCAUAGGUGGGAGACUUCGAUCGCCAAUGAAACACCACCACUUUCAUCUAUUCUUUACUUAUUCGGUGAGAAGAAAAUUGAGCUUCGGCUCUUCUUUCUUCGUCUUAAGCAGAGCCAGCUGGUGACCUUGCGACUCUCGCCGAAGACAGUGUCAGGCGGGGAGUUUGACUGGGGCGGUAUAUCUGUCAAAUCAUAACGGUCUGUACUCGUACUGAAAGUCAAGAUCAAGCGAGCUUUUGCCCUUUUGCUCUACGAGAGGUUUCCGUCCUCUCUGAGCUAGCCUUAGGACACCUGCUUUACGAUUUGACAGAUGUACCGCCCCAGUCAAACUCCCCGUCUCAUACAGUCUUCGACGAGAGUCGCAAGGCCUCCAGAUGGCUUUGCUUAAGACAAAGAAAAAAGAGCCGAAGCUCAAUUCUCU
rnacentral:ncRNA from 1 species